UCUGAGAGGAUGAUCAGCCACACUGGAACUGAGACACGGUCCAGACUCCUACGGGAGGCAGCAGUGGGGAAUAUUGCACAAUGGGCGAAAGCCUGAUGCAGCCAUGCCGCGUGUAUGAAGAAGGCCUUCGGGUUGUAAAGUACUUUCAGUUGUGAGGAAGGGGGUGUCGUUAAUAGCGGCAUCUCUUGACGUUAGCAACAGAAGAAGCACCGGCUAACUCCGUGCCAGCAGCCGCGGUAAUACGGAGGGUGCGAGCGUUAAUCGGAAUUACUGGGCGUAAAGCGCAUGCAGGUGGUUCAUUAAGUCAGAUGUGAAAGCCCGGGGCUCAACCUCGGAACUGCAUUUGAAACUGGUGAACUAGAGUACUGUAGAGGGGGGUAGAAUUUCAGGUGUAGCGGUGAAAUGCGUAGAGAUCUGAAGGAAUACCAGUGGCGAAGGCGGCCCCCUGGACAGAUACUGACACUCAGAUGCGAAAGCGUG
rnacentral:rRNA from 1 species